GAANAAGCCCCGGCUACNUCCGUGCCAGCAGCCGCGGUAAGACGGAGGGGGCUAGCGUUGUUCGGAAUGACUGGGCGUAAAGGGCGCGUAGGCGGUUUUUUAAGUGAGGCGUGAAAGCCCUGGGCUUAACCCAGGAGGUGCGUUUCAGACUGGAAGACUUGAGUACGAGAGAGGAAAGUGGAAUUCCUAGUGUAGAGGUGAAAUUCGUAGAUAUUAGGAAGAACACCAGUGGCGAAGGCGGCUUUCUGGCUCGUAACUGACGCUGAGGCGCGAAAGCGUGGGGAGCAAACAGGAUUAGAUACCCUGGUAGUCC
rnacentral:rRNA from 1 species